UGGGGAAUAUUGCACAAUGGGCGCAAGCCUGAUGCAGCCAUGCCGCGUGUGUGAAGAAUGCCUUCGGGUUGUAAAGCACUUUCAGCGGGGAGGAAGGCGAUAAGGUUAAUAACCUUGUCGAUUGACGUUACCCGCAGAAGAAGCACCGGCUAACUCCGUGCCAGCAGCCGCGGUAAUACGGAGGGUGCAAGCGUUAAUCGGAAUUACUGGGCGUAAAGCGCACGCAGGCGGUCUGUAAAGUCGGAUGUGAAAUCCCCGGGCUUAACCUGGGAACUGCAUUCGAAACUGGCAGGCUAGAGUCUUGUAGAGGGGGGUAGAAUUCCAGGUGUAGCGGUGAAAUGCAUAGAGAUCUGGAGGAAUACCGGUGGCGAAGGCGGACCCCUGGACAAAGACUAACGAUCAGGUGCGAAAGCGUGGGGAGCAAACAGG
rnacentral:rRNA from 1 species